AGAGUUUGAUCCUGGCUCAGGAUGAACGCUGGCGGCGUGCUUAACACAUGCAAGUCGAACGAAGCACUUUAUUUGAUUUCCUUCGGGACUGAUUAUUUUGUGACUGAGUGGCGGACGGGUGAGUAACGCGUGGGUAACCUGCCUUGUACAGGGGGAUAACAGUUGGAAACGGCUGCUAAUACCGCAUAAGCACACAGCAUCGCAUGAUGCAGUGUGAAAAACUCCGGUGGUAUAAGAUGGACCCGCGUUGGAUUAGCUAGUUGGUGAGGUAACGGCCCACCAAGGCGACGAUCCAUAGCCGACCUGAGAGGGUGACCGGCCACAUUGGGACUGAGACACGGCCCAAACUCCUACGGGAGGCAGCAGUGGGGAAUAUUGCACAAUGGGGGAAACCCUGAUGCAGCGACGCCGCGUGGAGGAAGAAGGUCUUCGGAUUGUAAACUCCUGUUGUUGAGGAAGAUAAUGACGGUACUCAACAAGGAAGUGACGGCUAACUACGUGCCAGCAGCCGCGGUAAAACGUAGGUCACAAGCGUUGUCCGGAAUUACUGGGUGUAAAGGGAGCGCAGGCGGGAAGACAAGUUGGAAGUGAAAUCCAUGGGCUCAACCCAUGAACUGCUUUCAAAACUGUUUUUCUUGAGUAGUGCAGAGGUAGGCGGAAUUCCCGGUGUAGCGGUGGAAUGCGUAGAUAUCGGGAGGAACACCAGUGGCGAAGGCGGCCUACUGGGCACCAACUGACGCUGAGGCUCGAAAGUGUGGGUAGCAAACAGGAUUAGAUACCCUGGUAGUCCACACCGUAAACGAUGAUUACUAGGUGUUGGAGGAUUGACCCCUUCAGUGCCGCAGUUAACACAAUAAGUAAUCCACCUGGGGAGUACGACCGCAAGGUUGAAACUCAAAGGAAUUGACGGGGACCCGCACAAGCGGUGGAGCAUGUGGUUUAAUUCGAAGCAACGCGAAGAACCUUACCAAGUCUUGACAUCCUUCUGACCGGUACUUAAUCGUACCUUCUCUUCGGAGCAGGAGUGACAGGUGGUGCAUGGUUGUCGUCAGCUCGUGUCGUGAGAUGUUGGGUUAAGUCCCGCAACGAGCGCAACCCUUAUCUUUAGUAGCCAGCGGUUCGGCCGGGCACUCUAGAGAGACUGCCAGGGAUAACCUGGAGGAAGGCGGGGAUGACGUCAAAUCAUCAUGCCCCUUAUGAUUUGGGCUACACACGUGCUACAAUGGCGUAAACAAAGGGAAGCGAACCCGCGAGGGUGGGCAAAUCCCAAAAAUAACGUCCCAGUUCGGACUGUAGUCUGCAACCCGACUACACGAAGCUGGAAUCGCUAGUAAUCGCGGAUCAGAAUGCCGCGGUGAAUACGUUCCCGGGUCUUGCACACACCGCCCGUCA
rnacentral:rRNA from 1 species